UACGGAGGGUGCAAGCGUUAUCCGGAUUCACUGGGUUUAAAGGGUGUGUAGGCGGAUUUUUAAGUCAGUGGUGAAAUCUCCGGGCUCAACCCGGAAACUGCCAUUGAUACUAUUAGUCUUGAAUUCUGUUGAGGUGGGCGGAAUACAUCAUGUAGCGGUGAAAUGCUUAGAUAUGAUGUAGAACACCGAUUGCGAAGGCAGCUCACUAAGCAGACAUUGACGCUGAGGCACGAAAGCGUGGGGGAUCAAACAGG
rnacentral:rRNA from 1 species